CCCCCAAGAGUUCUUUAUUCACACAUUUUUUCAAGGUUGGGGGUUUAAUGUAAGUUUUCUGCUAUUAAAACUGCAACUUUCCAUCCUGAUUGUGUCCAUGAUUAAGUUUUGGGUGUGGGCAGGGCAGGAGAUCAAGCACUCCGUCCUCUGCCAGGUCGCCGCCGCUGCCCGGGACGUGGACGCGCACGUGGGUCCGUCAGUCGCUGGCAAACAAGGUCGAGUCCGUGCAGAGCACUGGUCUCCUCCCUAUCGUCGUCGUCCUCCCUGCUGCCAGCGACGCCCUCCUGUCUCCUCUGCACCAGUCUACUCCUUCAUAUUAUUUACAAAAGAAAAUGGUUUGGGGUGAAGAGUUGAAGGCUUGAAGCCAAAUGUUCCUAAUCAAGAAGAUGACCCGCACAACUCCCCUGAAACAAGGCCAACACUAUGUGCCAAGAUUGAAGAUCCCAAAUAUGUUUACUUUGGUCCAAUAUCGUAUAGCAGUGUAAUGCUUCAGGCACUUUUUAUCAUUCAUUUUUAUUAUUCAAAUCUCUAUAUGGUUGCCAUAGAUGCUACUAUUACAUGGAUUUAUUACUAUUUUUCAUGUGUUGUUGAAAAUAGAACUCACUCA